ACGGUAGGGAAUCACGUGACUUUUACGGUUACGCGUACAGACAAUAUGGCGGCCUAAAAACCUCGCUUCACAUGUGUUUUUAAGGUAAUUCUUUAUUAUAUCCCUUUUACUUACAUACGAGACCUGUUGCAGCCUACGCAGAAUAAAGAAUUGUUGCCGCCUAUACCUUAGUUUCCACUCCUGUGCUCAUAGAUUUUACAAACACUCAAAAAUUCAACAGAAAUUUUCAAUGUGAACAAUUAUAUUUCGGGUAACAUUCACGCAAAAUUUGUAUUUUUUAUGAAUUUGAUUAAACUACGUCGAGUUAGCAAUGAGAAAAUGUUCAUAGAAUUUCUUUAUUUGAAAAUGUAAAUAUUAGGCAUGUUAAAUGUUGACUGGUCAUUUUCUAUUCCAAAACAUGAGAGAAAAAUGAUUUGGGUAACUCCCACGCAUACUUUUAUUGUUGAUAACUCCCACGCAAUAUUUUAUGGGCAGGCAAUAUCUAUGCAGGUUAUAGCCUAGAUAUUGAUUGAACAAAAUCAUGAUUGAUGCAUUUAGCCUUAAACGUUCAAAGAAUUUUGAAUAAUAUUAAAAAUACCGCCAAAAGGUCCUGGAUAGAAUAAAGCCCCCAUGGAUAGCAGAAUACAUACUCACGUGAAUAUAUUAAAUGAAGUUUCGAUAUAGAUGAAUUAACCGCAGAAAUUAAAAUAAAAGUCUCAAAUAUAAGAAGGAGGUCGAUUUCAGUAUAAGCACAAUAACAGUUGUCAUUUUUCAUAGUUUGCAGAUAUGGGCGGUUCCAGUUCGGGUAUUGUUUGUGGAUAAUGUUGGGCAACAUUUGUCUUAAUGACCACAUAAACUGGCUACUCGGCACAGGACUUUGUAAAUGUUGUGACAAAUCGAAACGUGACAGAUCCUGGUCCUGGCUGAAAUUUAAAGUAUUACAGCUGUAGCUUCUAUACCAUAAAUUUAACAUGGAAAGGACUGUUCUUGGGAAAAUGCUGACGUAACUGAUGGGAGCAGUUUUUCUUACCAAUCAUAGAAGCAGUAGAAGUAUUCAAACACCAUCAUGACACACGUUAGACAUACCAAGAGAGCUCUAGAAGAAGAACUAGUGGUAGAUUGGAACAGAUUGUAGCUUAAUUGUUAAACUAAAAGGACUUCUUAAAUCGUUUGAAUUUUAGCUACACUUGAACUGUAGUUUUGAAAUAAAAUAGCUGAAGUAUUUAAUAGUGUCUUGGUUUUUUUUGUUAAACUCUGUUACGUACAGUACUUUGCUUUAUAUUUAUAUUAAAGUAUGUUGAAAUGACAUUGAAACUUCAACGUUAUGCCAACGUUGAACUUCCACGUUUUUUAAACUUUCAAAUUCGAACAUAAAUCUAACGUUAUUUCAACGUUGAAAUCUGAUCAUACUUCAACGUUGUUCACCGUUGAUGUGCCUGCUGGGUUACUUCUAUCAAGGAACUAUUUGCGGUAUUUUUAAUAUUAUUCAAAAUUCUAUGAAAGUUUGAUGCUAAAUGCAUCAAUCAUAAUUUUUUUCAAUCAAUAUCUAGGCUAUAACCUGCAUAGAUAUUGCCUGCACAUAAAAUAUUGCGUGGGAGUUAUCAACAAUAAAAGUAUGCGUGGGAGUUACCAAAAUCAUUUUUCUCUCGUGUAAUGGAAUAGAAAAUGACCUGUCAACAUUUAACAUGCCUAAUAUUUACAUUUUCAAAUAAAGAAAUUCUAUGAACAUUUUCUCUUUGCUAACUCGACGUAGUUUAAUCAAAUUCAUAAAAAAUACAAAUUUUGCGUGAAUGUUACCCGAAAUAUAAUUGUUUACAUUGAAAAUUUCUGUUGAAUUUUUGAGUGUUUGUAAAAGCUAUGAGCACAGGGGUGGAAAAUAAGGUAUAGGCGGCAACAAUUCUUUAUUCUGCGUAGGCUGCAACAGGUCUCGUAUGUAAGUAAAAGGGAUAUAAUAAAGAAUUACCUGAAAAACACAUGUGAAGCGAGGUUUUUAGGCCGCCAUAUUGUCUGUACGCGUAACCGUAAAAGUCACGUGAUUCCCUACC